GACGAACGCUGGCGGCGUGCUUAACACAUGCAAGUCGAACGGAAAGGCCCUGCUUUUGUGGGGUGCUCGAGUGGCGAACGGGUGCGUAACACGUGAGUAACCUGCCCUUGACUUUGGGAUAACUUCAGGAAACUGGGGCUAAUACCGGAUAGGAGCCCCUGCUGCAUGGUGGGGGUUGGAAAGUUUCGGCGGGUGGGGCUGGACUCGCGGCUUAUCAGCUUGUUGGUGGGGGAGUGGCUUACCAAGGCUUUGACGGGUAGCCGGCCUGAGAGGGUGACCGGCCACAUUGGGACUGAGAUACGGCCCAGACUCCUACGGGAGGCAGCAGUGGGGAAUAUUGCACAAUGGGCGGAAGCCUGAUGCAGCAACGCCGCGUGCGGGAUGACGGCCUUCGGGUUGUAAACCGCUUUCGCCUGUGACGAAGCGUGAGUGACGGUAAUGGGUAAAGAAGCACCGGCUAACUACGUG
rnacentral:rRNA from 1 species